rnacentral:rRNA from 1 species
GACGAACGCUGGCGGCGUGCUUAACACAUGCAAGUCGAACGGUAAGGCCCUUCGGGGUACACGAGUGGCGAACGGGUGAGUAACACGUGGGUGAUCUGCCCUGCACUUCGGGAUAAGCUUGGGAAACUGGGCCUAAUACCGGAUAGGACCACGGUCUGCAUGGAUUGUGGUGGAAAGCUUUUGCGGUGUGGGAUGGGGCCCGCCGGCCUAUCAGCUUGUUGGUGGGGUGAUGGCCUACCAAGGCGACGACGGGUAGCCGGCCUGAGAGGGUGUCCGGCCACACUGGGACUGAGAUACGGCCCAGACUCCUACGGGAGGCAGCAGUGGGGAAUAUUGCACAAUGGGCGCAAGCCUGAUGCAGCGACGCCGCGUGGGGGAUGACGGCCUUCGGGUUGUAACCGUACUUUCUAGCAGGGACGAAGGGUGAC